CCAGAAUAAAUUUCUUGCACUCCUUCCCCAGGAGUAGCAAGCAGAGCUUGCUGCAGAGCUGUCCCCAGUGAUGCAUGUCUCUGCAAGGGAGAGGAACACCAUAAUAAGAAAUAACAUUCAUCCCAGAUUUGAUGAUAAUGAAAAUACAGAAAAAAGAAAAGCAGCAUUCCCGGUUCACAGCAGCUUUCCCGUUGGUCUGCGGCUUCUGUCAUUUGGAUGCAGGGGAGACUCUUUGCUGCCUUUCCUGGUACUGCAUGAAGAGGCGUUAUACCGUACGAUCAGUGCCAGCUUUACUGGCCAAAAGGUGACGCCAGGCUCCUCAGCUGCGGAGUUGGGAGCCGAGGACCCCAGGAGUAGUUAGACACGUGGGACAAGACUCGGCUCCAGCUGCUGCUUUCCUGUGUGAAAUAUAACUUAUAGAAGAUUUCUCUGGGAAUAAAAAAAUGUACAAUUGUUACA
rnacentral:lncRNA from 1 species